CGGGUGAGGAACGCGUGGAGAACCUACCCCGGCGUGGGGGAUACCCGCCAGAAAUGGUGGCUAAUACCGCGUACGGUCCAGGGGCGAGAGGCCAUCUGGAAGAAAGCAGUGAUGCGCGCUGGGAGGGGUCUGCGCCCGAUUAGCUGGUUGGCGGGGUAACGGCCCACCAAGGCGGUGAUCGGUAGCUGGUCUGAGAGGAUGAUCAGCCACACGGGGACUGAGACACGGCCCCG
rnacentral:rRNA from 1 species